rnacentral:tRNA from 1 species
GGGCCCGUAGCUCAGUGGUUAGAGCAGGCGGCUCAUAACCGCUUUGUCGCAGGUUCGAUACCUGCCGGGCCCA